AAGGCCUUAGUUUAAUUAAACCACCUGGGUUGCAUUCAGGUAAUGUAGGUUAAAUCCCUGCAGGUCUUA
rnacentral:tRNA from 1 species